AUAUAGUGGCAAACUGGGCAAUGGCUCUUAAAACUACAGCUGUAUUCUUCUAAGCAGUCUUUUACGUUAUUGGUGAAUUGAUAAAUUAAACCAGAAGCUUUGCUCUGCUUGUACACCAAAACAACUUUGACAGCUGGUGAUGGUCCAAGCCUGUAAUGCAACCCUUGAACAACUUGGAAAUGCCUGGGGCAACACAUGCUCAAUUCAGGGGAUUGGACUAAACUUAGUCUGAUUUUCCCCAAACUGCUCAAAUUGGAAAUAAAGUGGCCUCAAUACC